CGAUCUGGCUCAGGAUGAACGCUGGCGGCGUGCCUAACACAUGCAAGUCGAACGGGCUUGUGCUGGAAUGAGACUUCGGCCAAAGGAAGGCGCAAGCUAGUGGCGGACGGGUGAGUAACGCGUGGAGAACCUGCCUCAUGCUGGGGGAUAACAGUGAGAAAUCACUGCUAAUACCGCAUAAGCGCACGGGGACGCAUGUCCUUGUGUGAAAAAACUCCGGUGGCAUGAGAUGGCUCCGCGUUGGAUUAGCCAGUUGGCGGGGUAACGGCCCACCAAAGCACCGAUCCAUAGCCGGCCUGAGAGGGUGAACGGCCACAUUGGGACUGAGACACGGCCCAGACUCCUACGGGAGGCAGCAGUGGGGAAUAUUGCACAAUGGGGGGAACCCUGAUGCCAGCGACGCCGCGUGAAGGAUGAAGUAUUUCGGUAUGUAAACUUCUAUCAGCAGGGAAGAUGAUGACGGUACCUGACUAAGAAGCCCCGGCUAACUACGUGCCAGCCGCGGC
rnacentral:rRNA from 1 species